GUGGGGAAUAUUCCGCAAUGGACGAAAGUCUGACGGAGCAACGCCGCGUGAGUGAUGAAGGUUUUCGGACUGUAAAGCUCUGUUGUUUAGGACGAAAGUGCCUGUUGCGAACAGUUACAGGUAUUGACGGUACUAAACGAGGAAGCCACGGCUAACUACGUGCCAGCAGCCGCGGUAAUACGUAGGUGGCAAGCGUUGUCCGGAAUUAUUGGGCGUAAAGAGCAUGUAGGCGGAGAUUUAAGUCUGUUGUGAAAAUGCGGGGCUCAACCCCGUAUUGCGAUGGAAACUGAAGUUCUUGAGUGCAGGAGAGGAAAGGGGAAUUCCCAGUGUAGCGGUGAAAUGCGUAGAUAUUGGGAGGAACACCAGUGGCGAAGGCGCCUUUCUGGACUGUGUCUGACGCUGAGAUGCGAAAGCCAGGGUAGCGAACGGGAUUAGAAACCCGGGUAGUCC
rnacentral:rRNA from 1 species